AAACUGUCCUGGUCAAAACAUAUUGAUACAACAGUAGCUAAGAUGGGUAGAAGUCUGUCCAUAAUAAAGCACUGCUCUGCCUUCUCUACAACACUAUCAACAAGGCAGGUACCACAGGCCCUAGUUUCUACCUUCUUAACAACACUAUCAACAAGGCAGGUCCUACAGGCCCUAGUUUCUACCUUCUUAACAACACUAUCAACAAGGCAGGUCCUACAGGCCCUAGUUUCUACCUUCUUAACAACACUAUCAACAAGGCAGGUCCUACAGGCCCUAGUUUCUACCUUCUUAACAACACUAUCAACAAGGCAGGUCCUACAGGCCCUAGUUUUGUCGCACCUGGACUACUGUUCAGUCGUGUGAUCAGGUGCCACAAGGAGGAAAAUUGCCAUUGGCUCGCACAGCUCAGGCUAGCACACAGCUCAGACACCCAUCCAUACCCCACAAGACAUGCCACCAGAGGUCUGUUUAAACUACUGGCACACAGCUCAGACACCCAUCCAUACCCCACAAGACAUGCCACCAGAGGUCUGUUUAAACUGACUGGCACAUAGCUCAGACACCCAUCCAUACCCCACAAGACAUGCCACCAGAGGUCUGUUUAAACUGACUGGCACACAGCUCAGACACCCAUACAUACCCCACAAGACAUGCCACCAGAGGUCUGUUUAAACUACUGGCACACAGCUCAGACACCCAUACAUACCCCACAAGACAUGCCACCAGAG
rnacentral:lncRNA from 1 species